rnacentral:rRNA from 1 species
UACGGAGGGUGCAAGCGUUAAUCGGAAUUACUGGGCGUAAAGCGUGCGCAGGCGGUUUGUUAAGUCCGUUGUGAAAGCCCCGAGCUCAACUUGGGAAUUGCAGUGGAUACUGGCAGGCUGGAGUACGGUAGAGGAAGGUGGAAUUUCCGGUGUAGCAGUGAAAUGCGUAGAGAUCGGGAGGAACACCAGUGGCGAAGGCGGCCUUCUGGACCAGUACUGACGCUCAUGCACGAAAGCGUGGGGAGCAAACAGG